rnacentral:rRNA from 1 species
GACGAACGCUGGCGGCGUGCUUAACACAUGCAAGUCGAACGGAAAGGCCCUGCUUUUGUGGGGUGCUCGAGUGGCGAACGGGUGAGUAACACGUGAGUAACCUGCCCUUGACUUUGGGAUAACUUCAGGAAACUGGGGCUAAUACCGGAUAGGAGCUCCUGCUGCAUGGUGGGGGUUGGAAAGUUUCGGCGGUUGGGGAUGGACUCGCGGCUUAUCAGCUUGUUGGUGGGGUAGUGGCUUACCAAGGCUUUGACGGGUAGCCGGCCUGAGAGGGUGACCGGCCACAUUGGGACUGAGAUACGGCCCAGACUCCUACGGGAGGCAGCAGGGGGGAAUAUUGAACAAUGGGCGGAAGCCUGAUGCAGCAACGCCGCGUGCGGGAAGACGGCCUUCGGGUUGUAAACCGCUUUCGCCUGUGACGAAGCGUGAGUGACGGUAAUGGGUAAAGAAGCACCGGCUAACUACGU